rnacentral:rRNA from 1 species
UCCCAGACUCCUACGGGAGGCAGCAGUGAGGAAUAUUGGUCAAUGGUCGGGAGACUGAACCAGCCAAGCCGCGUGAGGGAGGAAGGUACAGAGUAUCGUAGACCUCUUUUGUCAGGGAACAAAGGCGGGGACGUGUCCCCGGAUGAGUGUACCUGAAGAAAAAGCAUCGGCUAACUCCGUGCCAGCAGCCGCGGUAAUACGGAGGAUGCGAGCGUUAUCCGGAUUUAUUGGGUUUAAAGGGUGCGUAGGCGGGACCUUAAGUCAGCGGUAAAAUUGCGGUGCUCAACGCCGUAGAGCCGUUGAAACUGGGGUUCUUGAGUGAGCGAGAAGUAUGCGGAAUGCGUGGUGUAGCGGUGAAAUGCAUAGAUAUCACGCAGAACCCCGAUUGCGAAGGCAGCAUACCGGCGCUCAACUGACGCUGAGGCACGAAAGUGCGGGUAUCGAACAGGAUUAGAUACCCGAGUACUA